rnacentral:rRNA from 1 species
UACGGAGGGUGCAAGCGUUAAUCGGAAUUACUGGGCGUAAAGGGCGCGUAGGUGGAAAUUUAAGUUGGCUGUGAAAUACCUGGGCUUAACCUAGGAAGGUCAGCCAAUACUGAAUAUCUAGAGUACGAUAGAGGGUAGUGGAAUUUCAGGUGUAGCGGUGAAAUGCGUAGAUAUCUGAAGGAACACCAGUGGCGAAGGCGACUACCUGGGUCGAUACUGACACUGAGGCGCGAAAGCGUGGGGAGCAAACAGG